GGCUGAAAUUCGCCUUCAUGAAGCUGGAAUUGCUAGUAAUGGCAGGUCAGCAUACUGCCGUGAAUACGUUCCCGGGCCCUUGUACACACCGCCCGUCACACCAUGAGAGUUGGAAAUACCCGAAGCCUGUGAGCUAACUUAAAGAGGCAGCAGUCGAAGGUAGAGCCAAUGAUUGGGGUGAAGUCGUAACAAGGUAUC
rnacentral:rRNA from 1 species